CCUACGGGUGGCAGCAGUGAGGAAUAUUCGUCAAUGGGCGUAAGCCUGAACCAGCAAAGUCGCGUGAGGGAUGAAGGUUCUAUGGAGCGUAAACCUCUUUUAUAAGGGAAUAAAGUGUGGGACGUGUCCUGUUUUGUAUGUACCUUAUGAAUAAGGAUCGGCUAACUCCGUGCCAGCAGCCGCGGUAAUACGGAGGAUCCGAGCGUUGUCUGGAUUUAUUGGGUUUAAAGGGUGCGUAGGCGGCCUUUUAAGUAAGUGGUGAAAGUCUGUGGCUCAACCAGAGAAUUGCCUUUGAAACUGGGAGGCUUGAGUAUAUUUGAGGCAGGCGGAAUGCGUGGUGUAGCGGUGAAAUGCUUAGAUAUCACGAAGAACCCCGAUGGCGAAGGCAGCCUGCCAAGCCAUGACUGACGCUGAUGCACGAAAGCGUGGGGAUCAAACAGGAUUAGAUACCCCGGUAGUC
rnacentral:rRNA from 1 species